AUUUUUAUAGUGUAAUUUAACACUUAACAUUUUCGUUGUUAAAAUGAUUUUUUUUUCUAAAAAUA
rnacentral:tRNA from 1 species